AACGAACGCUGGCGGCAGGCUUAACACAUGCAAGUCGAACGCUCCGCAAGGAGAGUGGCAGACGGGUGAGUAACACGUGGGAACGUACCCUUUACUACGGAACAACUCCGGGAAACUGGAGCUAAUACCGUAUGUGCCCUUCGGGGGAAAGAUUUAUCGGUAAAGGAUCGGCCCGCGUUGGAUUAGCUAGUUGGUGGGGUAAAGGCCUACCAAGGCGACGAUCCAUAGCUGGUCUGAGAGGAUGAUCAGCCACAUUGGGACUGAGACACGGCCCAAACUCCUACGGGAGGCAGCAGUGGGGAAUAUUGGACAAUGGGCGCAAGCCUGAUCCAGCCAUGCCGCGUGUGUGAUGAAGGCCUUAGGGUUGUAAAGCACUUUCACCGGAGAAGAUAA
rnacentral:rRNA from 1 species